GACGAACGCUGGCGGCGUGCUUAACACAUGCAAGUCGAACGGAAAGGCCCUGCUUUUGUGGGGUGCUCGAGUGGCGAACGGGUGAGUAACACGUGAGUAACCUGCCCUUGACUUUGGGAUAACUUCAGGAAACUGGGGCUAAUACCGGAUAGGAGCUCCUGCUGCAUGGUGGGGGUUGGAAAGUUUCGGCGGUUGGGGAUGGACUCGCGGCUUAUCAGCUUGUUGGUGGGGUAGUGGCUUACCAAGGCUUUGACGGGUAGCCGGCCUGAGAGGGUGACCGGCCACAUUGGGACUGAGAUACGGCCCAAACUCCUACAGGAGGGAGAAGUAGGGAAUAUUGCACAAUGGGCGGAAGCCUGAUACAGCAACGCCGCGUGGGGGAUGACGGCCUUCGGGUUGUAAACCGCUUUCGCCUGGGACGAAGCGUGAGUGACGGUAAUGGGUAAAGAAGCACCGGCUAACUACGUG
rnacentral:rRNA from 1 species